GAGCUCACUUCAGCAGCACGAAUACUAAAAUUGGAAUGAUACAGAGAAUAUUAGCAUGGCCUCUGUGCAAGGAUGACCUGCAAAUUCGUGAAGCAUUCCAUAUUUUU
ensembl:snRNA U6 U6 spliceosomal RNA